AGCGAACGCUGGCGGCAGGCCUAACACAUGCAAGUCGAACGAACCUUUCGGGGUUAGUGGCGGACGGGGGUGUCACCCGUGGGAACGUGCAUUUAGGUACGGAAUAACUCAGGGAAACUUGUGCUAAUACCGAAUGUGCCCUAAGGGGGGAAGAUUAAUCGCCGUUAGAGCGGCCCGCGUCUGAUUAGCUAGUUGGGUGAGGUAAUGGCUCACCAAGGCGACGAUCAGUAGCUGGUCUGAGAGGAUGUUCAGCCACAUUGGGACGGAGACACGGCCCAAACUCCUACGGGAGGCAGCAGUGGGGAAUCGUGCGCAAUCGGCGAAAGCCUGACGCAGCCAUGCCGCGUGAAUGAUGAAGGUCUUAGGAUUGUAAAAUUCUUUCACCGGGGACGAUAAUGACGGUACCCGGAGAAGAAGCCCCGGCUAACUUCGUG
rnacentral:rRNA from 1 species